rnacentral:rRNA from 1 species
GAUGAACGCUGGCGGCGUGCCUAAUACAUGCAAGUCGAGCGGCAGCACGGUCUUCGGACUGGUGGCGAGCGGCGGACGGCUGAGUAACGCGUAGGAACAUGCCCCAAAGUGAGGAAUAACUGCCCGAAAGGGUGGCUAAUGCCGCAUGUGGUCUUCGGACUAAAGAUUUAUGCGCUUUGGGAGUGGCCUGCGUCCGAUUAGCUUGUUGGUGAGGUAAUGGCUCACCAAGGCGACGAUCGGUAGCUGGUCUGAGAGGAUGAUCAGCCAGACUGGAACUGAGAACGGUCCAGACUCCUACGGGAGGCAGCAGUAGGGGAUUUUCCACAAUGGGCGAGAGCCUGAUGGAGCAACGCCGCGUGCAGGAUGAAUGCCUUCGGGUUGUAAACUGCUUUUAUGUGCGAAGAAUUUGACUGUAACACAUGAAUAAGGAUCGGCUAACUACGUGCCAGCAGCCGCGGUAA